rnacentral:tRNA from 1 species
UUAUUUGUUGGUGUAUAGAGCACAGGAAGUUUUGAUCUUUCAAGGAAUAGUGCGAGUCUGUUACGAAUAAU